UACGGGGGGGGCAAGCGUUGUUCGGAAUUACUGGGCGUAAAGGGCUCGUAGGUGGCCAACUAAGUCAGACGUGAAAUCCCUCGGCUUAACCGGGGAACUGCGUCUGAUACUGGAUGGCUUGAGUGUGGGAGAGGGAUGCGGAAUUCCAGGUGUAGCGGUGAAAUGCGUAGAUAUCUGGAGGAACACCGGUGGCGAAGGCGGCAUCCUGGACCGACACUGACGCUGAUGAGCGAAAGCCAGGGGAGCAAACGGG
rnacentral:rRNA from 1 species